UACAGAGGUCUCAAGCGUUUGUUCGGAUUCAUUGGGCGUAAAGGGUGCGUAGGCGGCGCGGUAAGUCGGGUGUGAAAUCUCGGGGCUUAACUCCGAAACUGCAUUCGAUACUGCCGUGCUUGAGGACUGGAGAGGAGACUGGAAUUUACGGUGUAGCGGUGAAAUGCGUAGAUAUCAGGAGGAACACCGGUGGCGAAGGCGGUUCUCUGGGCAUUACCUGACGCUGAGGAGCGAAAGUGUGGGGAGCGAACAGG
rnacentral:rRNA from 1 species